rnacentral:misc_RNA from 1 species
AACGCAACUUGCGCCCAGCGAUGGGCAUAGGCCGGUGAGGGUCACAUAACACUGAGCGCACGCUAAUGUAUUGGUGUGCGCUCGAGCUGGCCCGUGUCAGUGCGCUUGUCAUUGGCGCGCCGACUGGGCUCAAAGACAGCCAGCGUUGUGAAGCAGUGUUCACUCGAGUGCCAAGCAUUCUCCAGUGUGCAUCAGCUCACCAACACACUAUUAUUAUUAUUAACAGUAAUAGUAAUAGUACCGAUAACAAUGACCUCAUCGGACUAAGAUCACCCGCUGAACUUAA